UGCAGUCGAGCGGUAGCACAGAGAGCUUGCUCUCGGGUGACGAGCGGCGGACGGGUGAGUAAUGUCUGGGAAACUGCCUGAUGGAGGGGGAUAACUACUGGAAACGGUAGCUAAUACCGCAUAAUGUCGCAAGACCAAAGUGGGGGACCUUCGGGCCUCAUGCCAUCAGAUGUGCCCAGAUGGGAUUAGCUAGUAGGUGGGGUAACGGCUCACCUAGGCGACGAUCCCUAGCUGGUCUGAGAGGAUGACCAGCCACACUGGAACUGAGACACGGUCCAGACUCCUACGGGAGGCAGCAGUGGGGAAUAUUGCACAAUGGGCGCAAGCCUGAUGCAGCCAUGCCGCGUGUGUGAAGAAGGCCUUCGGGUUGUAAAGCACUUUCAGCGGGGAGGAAGGCGUUGAGGUUAAUAACCUUGUCGAUUGACGUUACCCGCAGAAGAAGCACCGGCUAACUCCGUGCCAGCAGCCGCGGUAAUACGGAGGGUGCAAGCGUUAAUCGGAAUUACUGGGCGUAAAGCGCACGCAGGCGGUCUGUCAAGUCGGAUGUGAAAUCCCCGGGCUCAACCUGGGAACUGCAUUCGAAACUGGCAGGCUAGAGUCUUGUAGAGGGGGGUAGAAUUCCAGGUGUAGCGGUGAAAUGCGUAGAGAUCUGGAGGAAUACCGGUGGCGAAGGCGGCCCCCUGGACAAAGACUGACGCUCAGGUGCGAAAGCGUGGGGAGCAAACAGGAUUAGAUACCCUGGUAGUCCACGCCGUAAACGAUGUCGAUUUGGAGGUUGUGCCCUUGAGGCGUGGCUUCCGGAGCUAACGCGUUAAAUCGACCGCCUGGGGAGUACGGCCGCAAGGUUAAAACUCAAAUGAAUUGACGGGGGCCCGCACAAGCGGUGGAGCAUGUGGUUUAAUUCGAUGCAACGCGAAGAACCUUACCUGGUCUUGACAUCCACAGAACUUUCCAGAGAUGGAUUGGUGCCUUCGGGAACUGUGAGACAGGUGCUGCAUGGCUGUCGUCAGCUCGUGUUGUGAAAUGUUGGGUUAAGUCCCGCAACGAGCGCAACCCUUAUCCUUUGUUGCCAGCGGUUCGGCCGGGAACUCAAAGGAGACUGCCAGUGAUAAACUGGAGGAAGGUGGGGAUGACGUCAAGUCAUCAUGGCCCUUACGACCAGGGCUACACACGUGCUACAAUGGCAUAUACAAAGAGAAGCGACCUCGCGAGAGCAAGCGGACCUCAUAAAGUAUGUCGUAGUCCGGAUUGGAGUCUGCAACUCGACUCCAUGAAGUCGGAAUCGCUAGUAAUCGUAGAUCAGAAUGCUACGGUGAAUACGUUCCCGGGCCUUGUACACACCGCCCGUCACACCAUGGGAGUGGGUUGCAAAAGAAGUAGGUAGCUUAACCUUCGGGAGGGCGCUACCA
rnacentral:rRNA from 1 species